rnacentral:rRNA from 1 species
GACGAACGCUGGCGGCGUGCUUAACACAUGCAAGUCGAGCGGUAAGGCCCUUUCGGGGGUACACGAGCGGCGAACGGGUGAGUAACACGUGGGUGACCUGCCCUCAGCUCUGGGAUAAGCCUGGGAAACCGGGUCUAAUACCGGAUAUGACUCCAUGACGCAUGUUGUGGGGUGAAAGCCUUGUGCGGCCGAGGAUGGGCCCGCGGCCUAUCAGCUUGUUGGUGGGGUGAUGGCCACCAAGGCGACGACGGGUAGCCGGCCUGAGAGGGCGACCGGCCACACUGGGACUGAGACACGGGCCCAGACUCCUACGGGAGGCAGCAGUGGGGAAUCUUGCGCAAUGGGCGAAAGCCUGACGCAGCGACGCCGCGUGAGGGAUGACGGCCUCGGUGUAA